UCCACCCCCGUAAAACGUUGGGAACUAGUUGUGGGGUCAUUCCACGGAUUCCGUGACGCAGCUAACGCAUUAAGUUCCCCGCCUGGGGAGUACGGCCGCAAGGCUUAAAACUCAAAGGAAUUGACGGGACCCGCACAAGCGGCGGAGCAUGCGGAUUAAUUCGAUGCAACGCGAAGAACCUUACCAAGGCUUGACAUAUACGAGAACGGGCCAGAAAUGGUCAACUCUUUGGACACUCGUAAACAGGUGGUGCAUGGUUGUCGUCAGCUCGAGUCGUGAGAUGUUGGGUUAAGUCCCGCAACGAGCGCAACCCUCGUUCUAUGUUGCCAGCACGUAAUGGUGGGAACUCAUGGGAUACUGCCGGGGUCAACUCGGAGGAAGGUGGGGAUGACGUCAAAUCAUCAUGCCCCUUAUGUCUUGGGCUUCACGCAUGCUACAAUGGCCGGUACAAAGGGCUGCAAUACCGCGAGGUGGAGCGAAUCCCAAAAAGCCGGUCCCAGUUCGGAUUGAGGUCUGCAACUCGACCUCAUGAAGUCGGAGUCGCUAGUAAUCGCAGAUCAGCAACGCUGCGGUGAAUACGUUCCCGGGUCUUGUACACACCGCCCGUCAAGUCAUGAAAGUCGGUAACACCUGAAGCCGGUGGCCUAACCCUUGUGGAGGGAGCCGUCGAAGGUGGGAUC
rnacentral:rRNA from 1 species